ensembl:antisense Gm15638 predicted gene 15638
GGUUCACUGCAUUCUCCCAGGUGAAUGGGCUCCUCUAAAAAGAUGGGAGAUGUCGGCCUCUCCAGUGCACAGCACACUCAGAAUUACAAAUCUAAGAACCAUUCUGGGGCUUUCUUAGGCUAUGAAGAAUCCUACCAUACGGAUCUUCCCUGUGACCUCUUCUGCUUGGUCUCUGGAUGUCCUCUCCUCUCGUGACAUGCUUGCAUCCUAACUGCGAGUUUUUAGCUGCUCAAACUGUGGAAUCAAAUGAGAUCACCACAAAGUGGCCCCACGGAUGAAAGCACUCUUUCCACAGAAACUCACUGGCACACCAGCUAAGGGCACUAUCCAAGAUUCUUCUGAAGAAAUGCAGUCUUCCAAACAGGAGGCCAGUGACGACCAAUGACAAUCCUGCUCAGUUAGAAUUCUCUGUAGGACGCAUGGUUGGUAGUGUUGUGGCUCUCCAUAAUAAACAAAAGACUGUGAGUGUUA